UACGUAGGGGGCGAGCGUUGUCCGGAAUUAUUGGGCGUAAAGCGCGUGUAGGCGGGAUUUUAAGUCGGAUGUGAAACCCUUGGGCUCAACCCAGGACCUGCAUUCGAAACUGGAAUUCUUGAGGGCGGGAGAGGAAAGCGGAAUUCCUAGUGUAGCGGUGAAAUGCGUAGAUAUUAGGAGGAACACCAGUGGCGAAGGCGGCUUUCUGGACUGAUACUGACACUGAGGCACGAAAGCGUGGGGAGCAAACAGGAUUAGAUACCCGAAGUAGUCC
rnacentral:rRNA from 1 species